rnacentral:rRNA from 1 species
AUUGAACGCUGGCGGCAUGCCUUACACAUGCAAGUCGAACGGCAGCAUGGAGAGCUUGCUCUCUGAUGGCGAGUGGCGCACGGGUGAGUCAUGCAUCGGAACGUACCGUGUAAUGGGGGAUAACGUAGCGAAAGUUACGCUAAUACCGCAUACGACCUGAGGGGGAAAGCAGGGGAUCGCAAGACCUUGCGUUAUACGAGCGGCUGAUGCCAGAUUAGCUAGUUGGUGAGGUAAAGGCUCACCAAGGCGGCGAUCGGUAGCGGGCGUGAGAGGAUGAUCGGCCACACUGGGACUGAGCCACGGCCCGGACUCCUACGGGAGGCAGCAGUGGGGAAUUUUGGACAGUGGGGGCAACCCUGACCCAGCCAUGCCGAGUGAGUGAAGAAGGCCUUGGGGUUGUAAAGCUCUUUCGGCCGGGAAGAAAUCGCACAGGCUAAUACUCUGUGUGGAUGACGGUACCGGCAUAAGAAGCACCGGCUAACUACGUGCCAGCCGCCGCGGUAA